CGAAGAUCUCCCAUCUCCAGCAAUAACAACAAUAACAAAACGCAACAACAAAAAGCAGCGACGCGACGUUGACCGCGGACAAAUCGUAUCGUUAAGCGAUAACAAGCCACCGCAAUAACAAAUUCCAAAAGCAAAAGCGUAACAUAUUGGCAGGCUGCAACGGGACUAAUCGCGGCUAUAGGCGCUGGUUAACUAACCAAGUAACAACUCCGGUAGUCCGGCAAUCGGUGGUGUCCCCGCGAGCGGCUGUGAAUCCAAUCGGAGAUUGGCAAUUGUGUGACUUCUAUUAAUAAAGCAACAAAUCAAACAGCAGCAUCCUCCUGUGUGGAGUCAUGUGUUCCACUGCACACAAAAACAAGUCAAGGAAAGCCAUGUAAAUGAAUAUUAAUAGCCCGUCAUCAAGGGGAGGUCAUUGGCUAUUUCUUUCGCUCGUCCGCUCCCCCAGUUUCGCCUAUAACUGCACUUGCUCUGUCUGCAAAAUAACGGGACUCAACAACAAAUGGCAUUUGCAGAUGGCUGCCGCCGCAUCGUCUAAUUGGAAUUUGUGCAAAGAAGAAGCGUAAAGAAACAAAGAAAUCUGCAAAUAAUUGCUAAUUAGUUGCAUUUCUGCCAUUGUUCGAAGGUUUCGCUUGCGAAUUUUUAAUGUAAUUAACGCGCCAGCUGUUUUUUUUCGAGUGUGUUCAGUGUGUGUGUAGCCCGAGCCUUCGAUCUAUUUUGUUUUUGUUUUUUUGGUGUCCAGAAACAACAAAAAAUCUAAGGUGCAAGUGCGUACAAAUAGAGUAGUACACGCGAAAACAACGGAUUUGAAACCACGGAUAUACAGUUAAAUACAUCUAAAAGGAAGGGCCAAUCUAGGAGAAGAACCGUUUGAUUUCGGCUGCCUCCGCGCCCCCACCUCUGCCUCUCUCUUCAGCACUUCUUCAUUUUCUACAUUCGCCGCGGGAAGCAGGGUGGUACACAUAUAUAUGCUCCAACUGAAGGAAAACCAGACACGCUGGCGAAUAUGGAUGUGAAUAUGAGUGCUCUUCUUGGUGAUUAGAUGAAACGGAAUAGAAAAUCGGAAGGAAUGUAGCCACCAAUUUGCUAUAAAGUGAAGUCGAAUUAAAACUCACAGGACAGGAUGGCAUCCUACACCCCGGCAAUGAAGGUUGUGCCAAAGUCCGAGCCAAACAAAUCCAGUAAGAGGACGAAGCCGGACGAACUUGGUGGCAAAAAUAUGAUGCGAGCCCAUUCUAAGACGAGAAUAAAAUUCUUUAUAAAUGUUAAAAUGGUCCCACUGAUAUACAAAUUCCCAGCAUUAUUUAUGUAUAUAAGAAAAGUACUGUAAAAAAAUCUGUACUAGCUGUAUAAGUUUUAAAGAAAUAAAAAUAAAGUUCACCAUACUUUCGGGCAGAAAACGAUAAGCGCUUUCACAUUCUA